GGGGGCGAUUUGGCUUCGACGGAGAUUCGGCGGUGGCUUGUGGCAGGCCAGGGACGUAUGGACCCUGUCAAAACUAUACAAAUUGACAAUUGCCAAAACUGACAAUGUCAUCAAGGUAGCCUUCGGUAAAGCUAAAGCAGCUGUCGCCGAAGCUCCUUUAGCUCUCGCGGCCUAACCCGCUUAGCGAGACCGUCCGCCUCACUUCUCCCACGAGUGAGAUCCGGGCGUCAUUGAGUGGGAUAGCAAUUUGGGGUGGCUUUGACCCAAGGCGCGAAACUUUUUAAAGUCUGGCUGGAGUCCAUCCUGUCGCUGGGAGUGGCUGCAGUAAGAUUGAAUAUAGCGACUAAGCCUGUAGAAGCGGUUACUUAAGAUCUUCGGACGCGGGUUCGAUUCCCGCCGCCUCCAUUU
rnacentral:tmRNA from 1 species